GACACUUUCUGAACCCUUGAACUGACUUCCACUAAAGAAGCACAGGCUCCAGACGCGCAGGCUCAGCUCAGCAAGCUCCAACUGGAAAGUAUUUCUCCAGAUACCUAAGAGAAAUGACCCAAGCACAGAGUUAUGAAGACUUAUGCCUGAAUAAGAUCUUCCAGAAGGCAGAAUCAGGAAGGAAAUAGAUUUGGGGGUUCACAUUUAUAUCAAGGUGAAACUCAUUAGAAACAAGAAAGCAAAUUGUUGUUUAUAUAGUAGAAAGAAUCCCUUUAAUAAAAUAUUUAA